GGGUUGUGAGGUUAAGCGACUAAGCGUACACGGUGGAUGCCCUGGCAGUCAGAGGCGAUGAAGGACGUGCUAAUCUGCGAUAAGCGCCGGUAAGGUGAUAUGAACCGUUAUAACCGGCGAUUUCCGAAUGGGGAAACCCAGUGUGACUCGUCACACUAUCAUUAACUGAAUCCAUAGGUUAAUGAGGCGAACCGGGGGAACUGAAACAUCUAAGUACCCCGAGGAAAAGAAAUCAACCGAGAUUCCCCCAGUAGCGGCGAGCGAACGGGGAGGAGCCCAGAGCCUGAAUCAGCAUGUGUGUUAGUGGAAGCGUCUGGAAAGGCGCGCGAUACAGGGUGACAGCCCCGUACACAAAAGCGCAUGUGCUGUGAGCUCGAUGAGUAGGGCGGGACACGUGGUAUCCUGUCUGAAUAUGGGGGGACCAUCCUCCAAGGCUAAAUACUCCUGACUGACCGAUAGUGAACCAGUACCGUGAGGGAAAGGCGAAAAGAACCCCGGCGAGGGGAGUGAAAAAGAACCUGAAACCGUGUACGUACAAGCAGUGGGAGCACAGGUUUACCUGUGUGACUGCGUACCUUUUGUAUAAUGGGUCAGCGACUUAUAUUCUGUAGCAAGGUUAACCGAAUAGGGGAGCCGUAGGGAAACCGAGUCUUAACCGGGCGUUAAGUUGCAGGGUAUAGACCCGAAACCCGGUGAUCUAGCCAUGGGCAGGUUGAAGGUUGGGUAACACUAACUGGAGGACCGAACCGACUAAUGU
rnacentral:rRNA from 1 species